rnacentral:rRNA from 1 species
UAAGGAAUAUUGGUCAAUGGGCGAGAGCCUGAACCAGCCAUGCCGCGUGCAGGAAGACAGCCUUAUGGGUUGUAAACUGCUUUUAUGCCGGAAAAAACCCCUAUACGUGUAUAGGGUUGAUUGUACGGUAAGAAUAAGGAUCGGCUAACUCCGUGCCAGCAGCCGCGGUAAUACGGAGGAUCCGAGCGUUAUCCGGAUUUAUUGGGUUUAAAGGGUGCGUAGGCGGGUGCAUAAGUCAGUGGUGAAAUCCUUCGGCUUAACUGAAGAAUAGCCAUUGAUACUGUGUGCCUUGAGUACAAAUGAAGUGGGCGGAAUGUGUAGUGUAGCGGUGAAAUGCAUAGAUAUUACACAGAACACCGAUAGCGAAGGCAGCUCACUAAGCUGUAACUGACGCUGAGGCACGAAAGCGUGGGGAUCAAACAGGAUUAGAUAAGUC